AGGGAAUAUUGGACAAUGGGGGCAACCCUGAUCCAGCCAUGCCGCGUGAGUGAAGAAGGCCCUCGGGUUGUAAAGCUCUUUUGUCCGGAAAGAAAAGCUUCGGGUUAAUACCCCGGGGUUCUGACGGUACCGGAAGAAUAAGCACCGGCUAACUUCGUGCCAGCAGCCGCGGUAAUACGAAGGGUGCAAGCGUUACUCGGAAUUACUGGGCGUAAAGCGUGCGUAGGUGGUUGUUUAAGUCUGAUGUGAAAGCCCUGGGCUCAACCUGGGAAUGGCAUGGGAAACUGGGCAGCUAGAGUGCGGUAGAGGGUAGCGGAAUUCCCGGUGUAGCAGUGAAAUGCGUAGAGAUCGGGAGGAACAUCUGUGGCGAAGGCGACUGCCUGGACCAGCACUGACACUGAGGCACGAAAGCGUGGGGAGCAAACA
rnacentral:rRNA from 1 species